GACGAACGCUGGCGGCGUGCCUAAUACAUGCAAGUAGAACGCACAGGAUGCACCGUAGUUUACUACACCGUAUUCUGUGAGUUGCGAACGGGUGAGUAACGCGUAGGUAACCUGCCUGGUAGCGGGGGAUAACUAUUGGAAACGAUAGCUAAUACCGCAUAAGAACAUUUACUGCAUGGUAGAUGUUUAAAAGGUGCAAAUGCAUCACUACCAGAUGGACCUGCGUUGUAUUAGCUAGUAGGUGAGGUAACGGCUCACCUAGGCGACGAUACAUAGCCGACCUGAGAGGGUGAUCGGCCACACUGGGACUGAGACACGGCCCAGACUCCUACGGGAGGCAGCAGUAGGGAAUCUUCGGCAAUGGGGGGAACCCUGACCGAGCAACGCCGCGUGAGUGAAGAAGGUUUUCGGAUCGUAAAGCUCUGUUGUUAAGGAAGAACGAGUGUGAGAAUGGAAAGUUUCAUACUGUGACGGUACUUAACCAGAAAGGACGGCUAA
rnacentral:rRNA from 1 species